UGCUGCAGCCUUCUGGAGUGGAAUGGUGUUCCUGUUUGUGGGCAGGUGCCUGAAGCCUUCUGAAGAGGUCAUUUAUAGGGACAGAGACAGUGCUUUUGGAUGACACCUGCAGGAGAUGCCCCAGAGUGGACUGCGAUUUUUGUCUGUUCCUACUGCCAGGACCUCGCACACUAAGUCCCAGCUGAUUUGUGGUGAACACACUGAAGUUCUGAAGAGCUUUUGGCGAAGACUGAUUUCAAGCUGCUACUCCUGGAAAUCAGUUUACCUGGGGACCUUGCUUUGCACAUGACCCUCCCACCCCAGGCAGUACAAGGGGCAGCACAGACCCAGGACGUGUUUCACCUCUUCCACGUUUGUUUUUCUAAACAACAGCAACAAUCACUGGAACAACAAAUCCUCUCCUGCUACUGAGCUGUGCCCAGGUUGAUGUUUACCACAAACAAUGGCAUUAUACUUCCUGGAAAUCCCAAAACUGAUGUUUCAGAGGAUGUGGGACUGAAACAAGCGGCCUGAGGGUGAGCUAAGGAGGAUUCUACAGGUGGUAGGAAUGCUGGCUCAGGCAGUACCUGCAGCAGCCUGACAUUAAAUCCACAAAUGUGAGACAUUGCUGAGAGCAUUGCCACGAUGCUAUUUAGGCUCCCCAGCACAGAUCAGGGAAAGGAUUUUGAUUCAGAGAAAGCUCACAAGAAAUGUCCCCAUUUGCCGGAUUGCCACCACCUGUGGCAGUGACACCAGGGGUUCCCAGGGUGUCCUACCCAGGGUCACUUCCCAGCUCUGCCACCACAGCAGAAGAAGGCUUUAAUGUGCUGCAACAGCCCUGCCUUAUUGCUUAUGAACAGCUUGAGGGGCACCACUAAGUUCAGCAUCAAAAGAUGCCUUCUAUGGGAAGUGGGAAGUGAAACCAUCCCAAUUCUGCAUCUGUGGACUCUUCUCAGGGAAAUCCUCUGCUGUUUGCCAAGUAGAAGCUGCUUUUCAAGGGAAUGGGAUUCUCUUUCAAAAGGAGAUGGAGGCUGAGAGCACGUGAAGGACUGCUACAAGGCACAGGGAAGAAGGGUGAGCACAGCUGUCAGAAUAAAAUGGUUUAAAAGAAUUAUUUGUGUAUUGAGGGAAAUAAGGGGAGCUGUUCACUGACUCCUAUCUUCAAUUACAUGUGGAAAUGCACACAAGAAGUCACUCCAUCCAUAUUAAAGUGUUUAUGAUUUCUUCUAAGGCUCACAAGGUUUGCCUUAACCCAGCCCUGAAGUGCAGUCAAGAAGGGAAAUGUUCACAGCAUCCCUGCCCUGCAGUCUGGGAGCAGAGAUGGAGAGAGGCUCUCGUCCAUCCAAUGUCAAAAAUGAAGUUUCUGACAAGCAGGGCAUGAAUUCAGCUCUUUUGGGUUUACAUUUGUCUGCCAGGCCUGGCAUCUGAAUUUCAUCCAAGGAGAAAAGUAAGAAAGAGAUAGAGAUAAGCUCUCAUUGCCCAUUCAUCCUUUUUGUUUCCUUCUUGUUGGAAGCAGGGUUGGAUAGCAGUGCAGACCUUUAGCACAGACUCCCAGAGUGGGAGGAAGAAAAGCUGAUGAUAUCAUCACACUGAAUCAGGGUUCAGCCUGUUUAUUGCCUCAUGCUUUUGCCAGGGAAAUUUGAAAUUACUUAUGUCAUGGAGGCUUCCACUCCUCCUCUGAAAUGAUCUUUUGGAUUAAGUAUUCAAGGAAAAUCUGUGCUGAAGCUGCUAGCUUUUAAAAAAGCUGUGUUAUCAAGGUGCUGACAAUAAAUUGCAAGGGUACCCUGGGAUUCUUCAAAGUAAUGCAAAGUACCAUUUCUGAGUGCAUGGCUAGAAAAAAACCACAUCUGAAGAAACAGUUCACAUCCUAAAAAAAUAAGCCUCACAAACUACAAAAUGUGCCCUAACUUUGAUGAGCAUUCACUAAAACCAUGUAUUUGCCUCAGUUUCCCUCUGGAACACCUUACAAAAGCCUUUCAGCUGGCUCCAAAAACGCAGGCACGUACCAGAGCCGUGUUGUUCAGAAGGUUUGUUUAUUUUAGGUUCAGUUGAUUUGUUGCAGAAAUAUGCUAGACCCUUAAUCCCAGUAGGAAAUUGAAACUGUGAGAAAGACAAAGUCUGGCUGACCCCCUGCAAAAACAGGCAGCAAAUCCUGCUGAGAAAUAGCAGUAGCAAAAACAGGGGGAAUUACCACAGAGUUUUGUCUUGGAGGAUGACAACUGUUUAAAAAAUGCAAGGACUGAAGGAGUAAUUCUUCCACACCCUCCCACUUUGCCUGAAUUAAGCGUGUGACAAAUGGUGAAUUGAAACCCGUACUGGUGAUAGUGUCAGUGGGGGAUCAGGAUUAGACAGGAGACUGCCUCAAUUUGUUCUGCCUCAUUAGCACCGUGCCUCGCUGCAGGGAGGGACCCAGUCCCAGGCGUUCCCUGCGCCCUGCCCUGCUGGGGAAUGGGAGCAGGGACAGGCAGGGGGCUGAGGGUGCUUCCCCUGCCCCUGAGUGCCAAAUUCCCUGCAAUUCAUCAUCCAAGGAGCCCCCCGUGGGGAAGGGGCCCCGAUGCUGAUGGAUACACAAGUUUAUGCUCCAAAAAAACAUUUUCAAUGCUGUGAGAAAAGCACCAAGCGUGGUUCUCUGCAUCCAGCUCCUCUCUGUGUUUGAGCUGCUCCCACUCACCUGGUUGCACCAGAGGCAAAAUUCUGCUGGCAUGUCAAUUCCAUAGAUGUAUUUGUCUUACCCAAGCUUAAACUUUAAAAAUGGCUAAAGAAUUGUUUGAAAAGGUGGGGUGAGUUUUGUUUUUUUUUUGGUUCAUGUGGAAUCCAGAUUUCAUUUCUAUGGCUUGUCUUUGGCACACCUUGGCAGGUGAGCUAAAAAACAGCCUCAGAACACGGCCAAGGCAUUCUAAGGAAAUGUAUUUUCCUUCCUAGCUUAUCCUGUGCUCCAAACUAUAUUAACAACAAGUUAGAAAGCAAAGGAUUGGGAUUCAGGAGAAAGGAAUUUUUAUCUGCAUCCUCAGGAUUUUUGGGAGAACCAGAACUUGAAGCUGGUAAGUGUUAAAAUGAGUCAGAGGAGAAAAAAGACCUAAAAGAGCAGAUGCAUUGUUAAGGCUACAGUAGGCAUCUUGUAAGAGAAAUAAAGUGGUAAGCAUUUUUCAUCUUUAUCUCUUGAGAAGGCAAAGAGCAAGACUGGUAUAAAACCCACUCUGGAGUAAUGAAAACCAACCAAAAAAGAGAAAUCCCCUUUCACUGGCAUGGAACACACAAGCAAAAGGGUGGAAAAAAAAUUGAAUUGAAUGUAUAUGAUCAGCUGAGCCACAAAAAAAUCUGUACUCACAUUGGUCCACAGGACCAAUAGGAUAUAUAAAAACCUCUUUUUCAUCUGAUUUUCAAUACUCAUAACUUUGUUUCCACUUCUUGUCACAACCAAGACAAUCUUGGUCUAUCUGCAGCUGGGCUAUGCUUUCAAAAUUGAAACUGCAAAGUUUCAAGAAAAGGAAAUUAAAAGCCCUCCAACUAAAAUCAGAAAAUACAGACAGUGAGAAAUCUUUAUGGCACUAGAAUCAUCAUUCAAAGCCAGUUCUUAAAGUAGCAAGAAUAGCAUUAAAUGUAUAUCUAGAUAUCUUUUUAACCUUUGUACAGACAGCAGGAGCACUGCAAGCUACAUUUGCAUUUCAUAGCAGGAAACAAAACCAUCCCACAAAGAUUUGAUAAAUCAUCAGAGGAACAAGGAAGUGCCCUCACACAUGCACAUGUUUUUCUAAAAUCACAGAGAAUGAAGAUAAGAGACGCACAACCCAAUCUCCAUCUCAAAGGUUGAUUGACUGUACCCAAGCCUGACUACCUCAAGAGCAGUAUAACUGAAAUUUGAAAUAUGGAUUUGUUUCCAACAAUUCUUUUCUCUUUCUUUCUUUAUUAUUAUUUUUGGACAAUUGACUGUGACCUAGUUUUCAAAUAAGAAGAAAUUUUAAGACAAUUCUUGCUAUAGAGGUACAGUGGUGAUGCAGGUUUACUUCCAGGGAUAUUUUGAUUCCAGGGAGGAAGACAAGUCUGUCAUUCCUGCAAAGGAUAUUGUGUAAGAUGAUUGCUCAUUCUGGUUCAACUUUGUUGACUUCUGUGAAGGUGUAGCAGAUAAAGGUUUGGACGAGUCAGGUUUCUUAAGUGAAACCAAAUGAAAAAUUUCUAUAGAAACCUUAUUUUGACAGAAGAACCAAUUUCUUC